AGUGAACUGUGUCCGUGCCACUGCACUCCAGUCUGGGUGACAGAGUGAGACCCUUUCUCAAAGAUUUUUUUUUUUUUUUAUAUAGGGUCUCUGACAUCCAGGCUGGAGUGCAGUGGCACGAUCAUAGCUUAUUGCAGCCUUUGGGCUCAUUGACCUCCUGGGCUUAAGUGGUUCUCCCGCCUCAGCCUUCCAAGCAACCGGGACCAUAGGCAUGUGCCACCCAC
rnacentral:lncRNA from 10 species